rnacentral:rRNA from 1 species
AAUAGAUACCCAGGUAGUCCACGCCGUAAACGGUGGGCGCUAGGUGUGGGGAACAUUCCACGUUCUCCGUGCCGCAGCUAACGCAUCAAGCGCCCCGCCUGGGGAGUACGGCCGCAAGGCUAAAACUCAAAGGAAUUGACGGGGGCCCGGCACAAGCGGCGGAGCAUGCGGCUUAAUUCGAUGCAACGCGAAGAACCUUACCUAGGCUUGACAGUUGGGGAAAUCUGGCAGAGAUGUCAGGUCCGCAAGGGCCCCAAACAGGUGGUGCAUGGCUGUCGUCAGCUCGUGUCGUGAGAUGUUGGGUUAAGUCCCGCAACGAGCGCAACCCUCGUCGUAUGUUGCCAGCGGAUAAUGCCGGGGACUCAUACGAGACUGCCGGGGUCAACUCGGAGGAAGGUGGGGAUGACGUCAAGUCAUCAUGCCCCUUAUGUCCAGGGCUGCACGCAUGCUACAAUGGCCGGUACAAAGGGCUGCGAUACCGCAAGGUGGAGCGAAUCCCAAAAGCCGGUCUCAGUUCGGAUUGGGGU